rnacentral:rRNA from 1 species
GACGAACCGUCCGAACGUUAUUCGGAAUCACUGGGCUUAAAGGGUGCGUAGGCGGCGCGGAAAGUUGGGUGUGAAAUCCCUCGGCUUAACCGAGGAACUGCGCCCAAAACUACCGUGCUUGAGGGAGAUAGAGGUGAGCGGAACUUAGGGUGGAGCGGUGAAAUGCGUUGAUAUCCUAAGGAACACCGGUGGCGAAGGCGGCUUCCUGGACCGACACUGACGCUGAGGCGCGAAAGCUAGGGGAGCAAACGGG